GCUGCUUCUGGAGUGCCUUUAUCUCCUUCUUUCCUUUUUCCUCCCUGAGGUGGGAAAACACAAUCACUUGAAUAUAUGAAGAAAGACAAGAGCUGUUUACCUAGAAGGGGAACUUCCUGUCUCCUGAUACAUUGUGAGUCCUUAUCUCGGUGACCGAUGAACAAAAGCUCCUGAUAAGGAGUCUCCCAUCAUCUCACUGCAGAUGGCUUUCAGAACAGUAUUUACACAAAACCAGGCAAUGGAAGUGGAAGAGUUGGGUUUCAUGCUUGAAGUCACACAUUGCACUGAAGCUGGGGACUUGCCCUGGAGGCAGAUCCCUGAGUCACCACAAGAGCAGCUCCAGUAGCUUGGACUCCUGACAAAUCAUGACUGAGAGCAGCUCUGCUGUGCACCCUCAAUGAUAGGCCCGAGCUGCUGCACUGAGGUAGCUUUAAAGUGGUCAAAUAUUUGUCUGACGACUGCAAUUCUCUCUGACAGUUUUAGGAUUGAAUCAGAGGUUUGCAUGCUAAAAAACCCCAAAAACUAGAGCUCAAAAGUUUGAGCUGGGAAAUCACCAGUUUGAGCUGAGAUUAUAGCAAAUGUGUACCCUGGAAGAUUUGGGACAGAAGAGAAUCACAGUGCAGUGGCUGGUGGAUUAGCCUUAAAUAAGACACCUCUGUCACCAUCUGUGCUAACCCCUCACUGCUGCUGGGAGAAGGGAGCCUAUUAGCAUAUAGGUCACAGCAGAUUCUCCUGGGCAUCAGACAACCUAAAGGCCAUAUGUUGCUGGCCCUGAUUUGAACAGAUUCUCUGCUGCUCUGGCUUUCACUGGGGACAGAAGUUAAAGAUCAAGGAGCUCCUACAUCACAUUAUGUUUUAAUUGAAAUGAGGCAUUUGCACUAAUUCAGCCACUGGUGUCCGCCGUGGUCAAAGCUCAGGCAAUUCCUAGCUCAGUUCAGUAUCAGACCCAUCCACUGUUUCUUUCCAAAGGGGAAAACUUGCAGUUUGCAAAGCAAACAGAAUAAUUCAAGUUUUAAAAGGUAUCCCUUCUGUAUUUUAGUUUUAUUGGGU